rnacentral:rRNA from 1 species
AUUGAACGCUGGCGGCAUGCUUUACACAUGCAAGUCGAACGGUAACAGGUUAAGCUGACGAGUGGCGAACGGGUGAGUAAUGCAUCGGAACGUGCCCGGUCGUGGGGGAUAACGCAGCGAAAGCUGCGCUAAUACCGCAUACGAUCUGAGGAUGAAAGCGGGGGACCGUAAGGCCUCGCGCGAUCGGAGCGGCCGAUGUCAGAUUAGGUAGUUGGUGGGGUAAAGGCUCACCAAGCCGACGAUCUGUAGCUGGUCUGAGAGGACGACCAGCCACACUGGGACUGAGACACGGCCCAGACUCCUACGGGAGGCAGCAGUGGGGAAUUUUGGACAAUGGGCGCAAGCCUGAUCCAGCAAUGCCGCGUACAGGAAGAAGGCCUUCGGGUUGUAAACUGCUUUUGUACGGAGCGAAAAGGUCUUCCCUAAUACGGGAGGCUGAUGACGGUACCGUAAGAAUAAGCACCGGCUAACUACGUGCCAGCAGCCGCCGUAACAC